CAAGGAGACCGCAGAGUCUCCUGGGACACAGCUCCCAGGGUGGGAGGGACCAGCCUGUUCCCCUGCCAGACUUCCUCACCAGUGGUGUGGUGAGAGCACAGAGCCCCAGUUCCAUGGCAUAUGCACAGGGAAACGUGUCCAUUACCCUCCUUGUCACAAGCUGAGCGGCCAACAGCCAUGGUCCCUUGGACGAAGAUGACAGCAGAGCAGCCUGCACGUGACAGAGCAAGAGCAACAGCCACUUUCUUUUACAAGCUGAGGCAGUGGGUCUGUAUUAUUCAGCUCUCAAAGCUCCUUGUGCUCAGCUAAAGCACGACUUGCUUGAAAUACUCAUGGAAAGUUAAAUAGCAGGGUAAUGAAGCUCCUGGUGAGGCAUGAGAGCAACUCUGCGGGCUGGCUGAACAGGAGGGAUGCUUCGGCAAGGACUGCUACUGAUAUUAAAAUGUUAUAUUUUCUGUAUAUUUAUUCUUGUGUUAUACACAGAGGUUAUCUAUCUUUAGAGAUAAAAAUAUGUGAUAUCAACAUGUACUUGUAUGAUAUAAAUAGAAAAAUACUGAUUAUAUA